rnacentral:rRNA from 1 species
GUGGGGAAUUUUGGACAAUGGGCGCAAGCCUGAUCCAGCAAUGCCGCGUGCAGGAAGAAGGCCUUCGGGUUGUAAACUGCUUUUGUACGGAACGAAACGGUCCGGGUUAAUACCCUGGGCUAAUGACGGUACCGUAAGAAUAAGCACCGGCUAACUACGUGCCAGCAGCCGCGGUAAUACGUAGGGUGCAAGCGUUAAUCGGAAUUACUGGGCGUAAAGCGUGCGCAGGCGGCUUUGCAAGACAGAUGUGAAAUCCCCGGGCUCAACCUGGGAACUGCAUUUGUGACUGCAAGGCUAGAGUACGGCAGAGGGGGAUGGAAUUCCGCGUGUAGCAGUGAAAUGCGUAGAUAUGCGGAGGAACACCAAUGGCGAAGGCAAUCCCCUGGGCCUGUACUGACGCUCAUGCACGAAAGCGUGGGGAGCAAACAGGAUUAGAUACCCUAGUAGUCC